rnacentral:rRNA from 1 species
GAUGAACGCUGGCGGCGUGCCUAAUACAUGCAAGUCGAGCGAACAGACGAGGGGCUUGCUCCUCUGACGUUAGCGGCGGACGGGUGAGUAACACGUGUAUAACCUACCUAUAAGACUGGGAUAACUUCGGGAAACCGGAGCUAAUACCGGAUAAUAUAUUGAACCGCAUGGUUCAAUAGUGAAAGACGGUUUUGCUGUCACUUAUAGAUGGAUCCGCGCCGCAUUAGCUAGUUGGUAAGGUAACGGCUUACCAAGGCAACGAUGCGUAGCCGACCUGAGAGAGGGAUCGGCCACAUUGGAACUGAGACACGGUCCAGACUCCUACGGGAGGCAGCAGUAGGGAAUCGUCCGCAAUGGGCGAAAGCCUGACGGAGCAACGCCGCGUGAGUGAUGAAGGUCUUCGGAUCGUAAAACUCUGUUAUGAGGGAAGAACAAAUGUGUAAGUAACUAUGCACGUCUUGACGGUACCUAAUAAGAAAGCCACGGCUAACUACGUG